rnacentral:rRNA from 1 species
GACGAACGCUGGCGGCGUGCUUAACACAUGCAAGUCGAACGGAAAGGCCCUGCUUUUGUGGGGUGCUCGAGUGGCGAACGGGUGAGUAACACGUGAGUAACCUGCCCUUGACUUUGGGAUAACUUCAGGAAACUGGGGCUAAUACCGGAUAGGAGCUCGUGCUGCAUGGUGGGGGUUGGAAAGUUUCGGCGGUUGGGGAUGGACUCGCGGCUUAUCAGCUUGUUGGGGGGGUAGUGGCUUACCAAGGCUUUGACGGGUAGCCGGCCUGAGAGGGUGACCGGCCACAUUGGGACUGAGAUACGGCACAGACUCCUACGGGAGGCAGCAGUGGGGAAUAUUGCACAAUGGGCGGAAGCCUGAUGCAGCAACGCCGCGUGCGGGAUGACGGCCUUCGGGUUGUAAACCGCUUUCGCCUGUGACGAAGCGUGAGUGACGGUAAUGGGUAAAGAAGCACCGGCUAACUACGUG